UUAAGUUCAGCGGGUAUCCCUACCUGAUCCGAGGUCAAAAGUGGAAAAAGGCUUACUGGACGCCAGCAUUACAGGCAUGACUCGCAAAAUGUGCUGCGCUUCAAUACCAAAACACUGGCUGCCAAUUGCUUUAAGGCGAGUCCACACACGGCGGAGUGGACAAACACCCAACACAAGCAGAGCUUGAGGGUACAAAUGAC
rnacentral:misc_RNA from 1 species